rnacentral:rRNA from 1 species
AUUGACCGCUGGCGGCAGGCUUAACACAUGCAAGUCGAGCGAGCGGCGGACGGGUGAGUAAUGUCUGGGAAACUGCCUGAUGGAGGGGGAUAACUACUGGAAACGGUAGCUAAUACCGCAUACAAUAAGAGGUGACCAGAUGGGAUUAGCUAGUAGGUGGGGUAAUGGCUCACCAAGGCGACGAUCACUAGCUGGUCUGAGAGGAUGAUGAGUCACACUGGAACUGAGACACGGUCCAGACUCCUACGGGAGGCAGCAGUGGGGAAUAUUGGACAAUGGGCGAAAGCCUGAUCCAGCCAUGCCGCGUGUGUGAAGAAGGUCUUCGGAUGGUAAAGCACUUUUAUUUGGGAGGCGUUACCCACAGAUUAAGCACCGGCUAACUUCGUGCCAGCAGCCGCGGUAAUUC